AGUGAACGCUGGCGGUAGGCCUAACACAUGCAAGUCGAACGGCAGCACAGAGGAGCUUGCUCCUUGGGUGGCGAGUGGCGGACGGGUGAGGAAUACAUCGGAAUCUACUCUGUCGUGGGGGAUAACGUAGGGAAACUUACGCUAAUACCGCAUACGACCUACGGGUGAAAGCGGGGGAUCGCAAGGCCUCGCGCGAUUAGAUUAGCUGAUGUCCGAUUAGCUAGUUGGCGGGGUAAUGGCCCACCAAGGCGACGAUCGGUAGCUGGUCUGAGAGGAUGAUCAGCCACACUGGAACUGAGACACGGUCCAGACUCCCACGGGAGGCAGCAGUGGGGAAUAUUGGACAAUGGGCGCAAGCCUGAUCCAGCCAUGCCGCGUGGGUGAAGAAGGCCUUCGGGUUGUAAAGCCCUUUUGCCCGGAAAGAAAAGAACUGGAUUAAUACUUCGGUGUGCUGGCGGUACCGGAAGAAUAAGCACCGGCUAACUUCGUGCCAGCCGCCGCAGUAA
rnacentral:rRNA from 1 species